rnacentral:lncRNA from 1 species
AGCUCUUAGCAUGUCCUGCUUGAUAAGUGUGGCUUUGUGUACCCCAGGCCUCAGACCCUACCAGACAGUGUAUGCUAACAAUGCUAUUUGUGAAUGCCUGUUUUUGCUGUCCUGAGCUCCAGGCCACUCUGCAUUAAUUUGUCCUCUGAGGAUGUGAGGGAUAGAGACUGAGUAUCUACGGUCAGCUAUAUGGGCUCUCCACACCUACAGAACUGAUCCCCGAUAAAAUCCCUGGACACCAAGGCUUGGGAUUGCUAAGUGGACUUGAAGAGACUUUGCCCUAGAGAUGACGAGAAGAAGUGGACCCCAGAUGCUGAUGUUUGGGUACAAGGAUGCACACUGAGACCUGAUGGAAGUAAAGCACUGUACUUCUCCAGUCUGCACACCAAAAGAUUAUCUUUUUUUAAACCUAA